UUCCUUAACCGGAACUUUCCUUCGGGACAGGGGAGACAGGUGGUGCAUGGUUGUCGUCAGCUCGUGUCGUGAGAUGUUGGGUUAAGUCCCGCAACGAGCGCAACCCCUAUCCCCAGUAGCCAGCAGUCCGGCUGGGCACUCUGAGGAGACUGCCAGGGAUAACCUGGAGGAAGGCGGGGAUGACGUCAAAUCAUCAUGCCCCUUAUGAUUUGGGCUACACACGUGCUACAAUGGCGUAAACAAAGGGAAGCAAGCCUGCGAAGGUAAGCAAAUCCCAAAAAUAACGUCCCAGUUCGGACUGCAGUCUGCAACUCGACUGCACGAAGCUGGAAUCGCUAGUAAUCGCGGAUCAGAAUGCCGCGGUGAAUACGUUCCCGGGUCUUGUACACACCGCCCGUCACACCAUGGGAGUCAGUAACGCCCGAAGUCAGUGACCUAACUGCAAAGAAGGAGCUGCCGAAGGCGGGACCGAUGACUGGGGUGAAGUCGUAACAAGGUAGCCGUAUCGGAAGGUGCGGCUGGAUCACCUCCUUUCUAAGG
rnacentral:rRNA from 1 species